GAAAAAAAUAACGAUGAGAUCAUAGUCACUAACAGAUUAUCUUGCUAUGAGUGUGAACGGAUAACGAGCUUAAUGUGAUUGCUCCAGAAUGAAAAAAGGAUAAAAGAAGGUUUAAUAAGGUAGGUUUAGGCAUGACAACAUGAUUCAGAUUGGUUUGUAUAGGAGGGAGACUUAUGGAUGCAACUUUGCGACUGUGUGUUCUAACGAAAC
rnacentral:lncRNA from 1 species